CACGUAGGGGGCGAGCGUUGUCCGGAUUUAUUGGGCGUAAAGGGCUCGUAGGCGGCCAACUAAGUCGGAUGUGAAAUCCCCAAGCUUAACUUGGGAACUGCAUCCGAUACUGGAUGGCUUGAAUCCGGGAGAGGGAUGCAGAAUUCCAGGUGUAGCGGUGAAAUGCGUAGAUAUCUGGAGGAAUACCGGUGGCGAAGGCGGCUCUCUGGGCCGUACUGACGCUGAGGAGCGAAAAGCGAUGGGGUACAGCGGAACUAAGGAUUACG
rnacentral:rRNA from 1 species